UAUAAGCCCUAGUUAUACAUAUAAAAUAGUAAGUUUGUUAAAAUUAAUAACCCAAGCCCAUAGUCCACAAAACCUAAUUAAUUAGUAAUUACAAUCAACCGAAUAACGCAGCAUCACAAAUUUGGCCAUCAUCACCAAAUUCUUCUUUCUUCUUGAACUCUCUGUUACUAAAAUUGCAGAACACAUUUUGAAAUUAAAAUUCAUCAACAAAUACAAACUUUUUCCAAUCUUUUUAUCGGCUGAAAUCGGAUCCAAAAUGAAAUUUAUAUAAUUGAAAUCAAAAACUUUCCUUCAAGCCGAAUUCAGAUGAUUGGUGCGGCGGCAGCCAUUUUCAGAUGAGCAGAGAAAGAUUCAAUCAGAAGUAAUCGAUAAGAAGAAAAUAUGGGUUUCUGAAACAUAAGGGUGAUUUGAAUAAUAUUUUUUUUAUUUGCAGAUGAGCCCGAAACGUUUUGGAGGAGUUUCCUAACGUUCCCGUUUCGGAAACGUUAGGAAACGCGGAAACGUUGGGACUUCAACGUUUCCGUGCUUCCUAGGAUGGUAAUUGGAGAGCUCUACUGCAUUAUUUUAUGGUUAGGGGGUUUGAGUUUACCUAUGUGUUGAAUUAGUCAAUAGUUCUGGUUUAUAAGUUCUGUACAGUUUAGGAAGUAUUUUUGCCUUCAAAUAUUUAUUUUUUUCAUCAUGGAAUGAAGAGAGUAUUGGUUGAGAUCUGCUAACCUUAUUCUUUUUCAGGCCUCCCAACUCCUAUCGGUGUUACCGGAGUAUCAAUUAGGGGGUGUCUUUCUCUCCUUUUUCUUUUCCAGUUUAAACUAUUUUUUCUUGUUGCAUUCCACUAUUCUAGUCUAUUGACAAAUCCUUGACAUUGAACUUUGAACUCGUGGUUCGUUUUUAGCAUGCUCCUUUUUGAGUUCCUUAGAGGUUCCAUUGUUGUCAAGCACUGCAUCUGAUUUGGAAGAUCGACAUUAGUUUUCCACUAUCUUAAUUAAUUAUGUUACACAUCUCUUUUUGUUUUUUUGUUUCUUUUUUGUGACGCUUAAUUCUCUCUCUUUGUUUCGCAUGGCUUGCAGCUUUUUCUCUGGCCUGUGGCUGACUUGACAUGUGUUGGUCUAUAUUUGGACUUGUUCAGUGCUUAUUAUAAUUUUUUAUCUACGAAUGUUCAUUACAAUUAUUCUUGAUUGGAACUAUUGAUCAGUUUCUUGUGUUUUGUGUGUGGAUGUGGAUGUGGAUGUGAGACCAUUAAUAUGUUUUCUUCUUUUUCAAACUAUUAAAAUAUACAAUGUCAUUGUAGCUUUUCAUAAUUGGUUGUUGAUCUGAGCCCAUGUAAUUUUCCAGGAUUUCCGGCUUCUGGAGAAUAUCGUAGGAAGAUUUCAUGGUCUUGAUUUGAUACAGUACAAAAGAAGUUGACAAUACAUAAGUGAUGAGUGUGAUCAGGGAGCUCCAUUGCUUGUCUUUUCAGUGAGUGCAAUAUAACUCCCUAGUUAAUAUGCGAAAAAUAACCCGUUUUGAGAUAGUUUGUCAUAUGUAUUUGCCAGGCAUUGAAGAAGAGGUAUGAGUCUGUGGAACUUAUUGAGCAGGAGGUUUAAUUAUUUAUCUUGGAUUUUUCUUCAUUUGAUUUUUAUCAUUAUAUUUUGCAUACAAAGCUACAAUCCGCAAAUUGAGUUCUCUUUGAGGUUGUACUUUUGGCAAUAAGGGCGUAUUUUACUGCUGGUCAACAACUUAUGUCUUGCACGCAAGCUCUGCAAAUGGACAAAAUUGUUCUUGAAGGUUCAUGCAUUGUGCCUACAUGUGGUUCAUGUGUAAAUGUCUUCUUUUCUCCAUCUUGUUGCCACAAUUUGACAGUUUAAAGAACUAUGAAUGGGAAUUAAUAACGAGCUUUCUAGGUGUGAAGGGCGAGAGGCAUUUCUAGUUUUAUGUUCUCAUUAUCAAUUUUCUGGUAAAAGGAGUCGAUGCAUUUUAGCCAUUGGUUCUGUUAUUUUGAAGAUCAUCUGAUUUAGGCAUCACAAAGUGGGUUAGUUUUAUGUGUGGCAUUCUAAUCGGUUGUCAAGUAAUUAUAUGCUGCUGUUAACAUUUCAAUUUGAUUCAGUUGCUAUUGCUGUUAACACUUAAACACAAGUAUUGAAUAAUUGACGGAGAAUGUCAUGGGAUAAAAGCCUGUCAAUUUUCUUUGGAUUCCUUAUUGGUGUUUCUUGGGUUGCUCUUUGUGUUUGCUGUAUUGAUGUGGGUUAUCAUGGGUUUGUGUUCUUGAGAGUUGCAUGAUUCUUUCGAGGAGUGUGGAUGCUUUAGUCAACUGCUGGAUGUUUUUACCAAUAGAUACAUGAUAUUCUUCAAUGGGUUUUGGAUUGCUAUGGAUUUGUGGAUUGUUAUAUCAUGAUUUUAGCAAUGUGGACUGUUAUGGAUUUGUGUAGCUACAAAUGCAUGAUUCUUUCGAGCGUGGAUCCAAUAGCCUACGCCUAUUGGAUGUUUUUUCAAAAAAUUGAUGCAUGAUAUCCAUUUAGUCGGGCUGGUUUGACAACAGAGUUCUUGGAUAUUUUGAGCAUGUGUGGAUGUGUAUUUUUCUUGUUUCUUUGUCAAGUUUGAGGAUCUACAAAUGCAACGUUCCUGGAAUGUUAAGAAGCUUCUGUGUGCUUGUCUGCUUACAAGACUGGAAUCAUAACUUUUUACCUUGUUUUGGUUCCCUGUUUUUCAAUGUGUGUGUUUGUUUGUUUGUUUGCUUGCAUGCAUGUAACUCCGCCUGUGUUCUUAAGUACACAGCCGGUCCCAAGCCCGGAUUGAGGAGGAGGGUUGCAAUUGUUGGCUUGCGGUCUUCACGUUAUCUGAAUGUGAUUCUGAUGUCACUGUUCUGUAGGUCACUUUGUUAUUAGUCAUCUUUUUUGUUAUUUUUCUUGAUUGCAGGUCAUUACUGAAUCUAAUAUGAUGUGUUUUUUCUUUAUAUAUAUAUUAGCCAUUUUAAAUAUGUUGGGAGGUUUGUUCCGCUCUGCAGAAGACACCUUGGAGAUUUUUUGGGACCUUAUAUGGGAAUACCCGCUACACAUAUAUUGAUCUUUUGAAGCAAGAUUUUACAGGAACAUUUGUAACAUUUCAUUUGUUUGAGGAAAUUUAUAUCUUUUUCAA